rnacentral:pre_miRNA from 1 species
AGGGGAAUAGCUGGGUCGAAUGGUGGUUCCAUUCCCAGAUUUCCAAGGAAUCUCCAUACUGAUGUCCAAAUUGGCCGAACCAAUUUGCAGUCCCACCAGCAAU